rnacentral:rRNA from 1 species
UACAGAGGGGGCAAGCGUUGUUCGGAAUUACUGGGCGUAAAGGGUUCGUAGGUGGCCGGCUAAGUCAGACGUGAAAUCCCUCAGCUCAACUGGGGAACUGCGUCUGAGACUGGUCGGCUCGAGUGCAGGAGAGGAACGCGGAAUUCCAGGUGUAGCGGUGAAAUGCGUAGAUAUCUGGAGGAACACCGGUGGCGAAGGCGGCGUUCUGGACUGCUACUGACACUGAUGAACGAAAGCCAGGGGAGCAAACGGG